UACGUAGGGUGCGAGCGUUGUCCGGAAUUAUUGGGCGUAAAGGGCUCGUAGGCGGUCUGUCACGUCGGGAGUGAAAACUCGGGGCUUAACCCCGAGCCUGCUUCCGAUACGGGCAGACUAGAGGUAUGCAGGGGAGAAUGGAAUUCCUGGUGUAGCGGUGAAAUGCGCAGAUAUCAGGAGGAACACCAAUAGCGAAGGCAGCUCGCUGGGACGUUACUGACACUGAGGCGCGAAAGCGUGGGGGAGCGAACAGG
rnacentral:rRNA from 1 species